rnacentral:rRNA from 1 species
CGCCUUUUGAAUAUUAUAAAAGGUAACGCCUGCCCAGUGACAUAUGUUCAACGGCCGCGGUAUUCUGACCGUGCGAAGGUAGCGUAAUCAUUUGUCUUUUAAAUAAAGACUUGUAUGAAUGGCAUCACGAGGACUUAACUGUCUCCCUAAUUUAAUCAGUGAAACUGAUCUUCCUGUGAAAAAGCAGGAAUUUUCUCAUAAGACGAGAAGACCCUAUGGAGCUUAAAACUAAAAACUAACUGUAUAAUCUGCCAAAUUAAAUGACACUAACAUACAGGUUUAGCCUAAGUUUUUUGUUGGGGCGACUAUGGAGAAAACCCUAUCCUCCAUGAAAAUAUACUUUGAGUUACCGCUCUUAGUAUUAGCAAGCCUGAAUUUAAUUGAUCCAAUCUUUGAUCAACGGACCAAGUUACCCUAGGGAUAACAGCGCAAUCCAUUUCAAGAGUCCCUAUCGACAAAUGGGUUUACGACCUCGAUGUUGGAUUAGGAUAUCCUAGUGGUGUAGCCGCUACUAAUGGUUCGUUUGUUCAACGAUUAAAGUCCUACGUGAUCUGAGUUCAGACCGGAGCAAUCCAGGUCAGUUUCUAUCUAUGAAUGAACCUUUUCCAGUACGAAAGGACCGAAAAAGUGAAGCCUCUUAAACAUUAAGCUUCAGCUUAACAUUAUUGACACUUCUAAAAUAAAAAUAAGCCAAUAACUUACCCUUAAAUCAAGGC